UACGAAGGGGGGCUAGCGUUGCUCGGAAUCACUGGGCGUAAAGGGCGCGUAGGCGGCCAUUCAAGUCGGAGGUGAAAGCCCAGGGCUCAACCCUGGAAUUGCCUUCGAUACUGUUUGGCUAGAGACCGGAAGAGGUAAGUGGAACUGCGAGUGUAGAGGUGAAAUUCGUAGAUAUUCGCAAGAACACCAGUGGCGAAGGCGGCUUACUGGUCCGGUUCUGGACGCUGAGGCGCGAAAGCGUGGGGAGCAAACAGG
rnacentral:rRNA from 1 species